rnacentral:rRNA from 1 species
CACGUGAGCGAUCUACCCGAUGGCGGGGGAUAACCCAGGGAAACCUGGGCUAAUACCGCAUACAGCACCGGCUUGGAAGCCGGAUGUGAAAGCUGGCCUCUCGACGAAGCUAGCACCAUUGGAUGAGCUCGCGGCCUAUCAGCUAGUUGGUGGGGUAACGGCCUACCAAGGCGAUGACGGGUAGCUGGCGUGAGAGCGUGGCCAGCCACACUGGGACUGAGACACGGCCCAGACUCCUACGGGAGGCAGCAGUGGGGAAUAUUGCGCAAUGGGCGAAAGCCUGACGCAGCGACGCCGCGU